GUUUUGCGUGAGGGGUUGCAGUGGAAAUCCUCUCUUGUCUCGUUUGUAAAACGAGACAAGAGAGAUUGAAACAAAAGACCCGACCCGCA
rnacentral:sRNA from 1 species